GCAAUGAUGAAUCAUUUAUGUGCCGAUUGUCAAAAAAUGAUAGUGCAUUGUCCUCUAAGAAGUUCUGAGCUU